AGCUCUAUGGUUUCUUCCUGAAAUGGCUGCAGCCAACCAGCAAAAGGGAGAAAAAGGCAAAACUGAUUUGUUGAGAUCUCUCCUGCUCCCUGAUUUGUCUGAUCUCUCUCCACCCUUCCCCUUUCCCUUCUCUCCCUGCGUAGUUUCUGCCUGGAAAUGGCUGCUGCCAACCAAUGUAGUUACAAACAAAUACCGUACAAUAAUGGACAUGCAACCUGCGUAACAGGAAGAAUAGAAAACAUACUGGAGCAGAACCCUGAGACAAUUCAUCAUCUGGAAACAUUACAAGACUUCUACUUAAGGCAGAUUGGGAAUACAUUAGAGCCUAUUCUUAUUAGUUUUGACCCCUCCUGAAGGCUGAGUUGACUAAGAAAGUAAAUAAAUACUGCUUUUCUUCCUUUUAACUUUCCUUUCAUAUUUUUAAACAUGCAAGUAUGCUUGUGGUGCUGCCACCAGAGGGCAGAAAAAUCUAGACAUAUCCAAUAAUAGACUUUAUGAAUUCCCUAGAAGGCUGAAACUUUUAUUUUUUAGACUCCUACUGUACUUCAUUUGAGUAUACUAUUACUGGAAUAUGGUAUUCUCCUCCAGGGCAGCUUCUUGUUCCACAUAGCUUGCCGUGUUGCUUUCUUUUAGUGGGCUACACUUCUUAUUUUAUCUUUUUGAA